AGCGUCCCAAAUAUUUGGAUUCUAUAACUAUUAAGAUGCCUUCCAACCUGAAAUUCUGUGAUUCUACAGUGGAACCACUUGAAUUUGAUUUGAGAAAGGAGAUAUCUUUACACCUUGUAUAUGAUGUAUUAAGUUGAUGUGUACCCAGAACCCUGGUGGAUGAAGACAAAGGAAAGAUGUUACUAAUCCAGCCAAAAAUGAAAAUCUCCAAGAGUUGGUGAAUCAUGCUGUUGCCAAUAAUAGGCAUGUGACAUAACUGAACAUUUCGUCAUCUUCAGUAAAUAAUCAAGAUGAUAGAAUCUAAUGUCACCUUUGCAGAGAUGACAUGCUGGGUCUGUGAUCACCAGGGAUCCAAAUGCCUUCGAUCUUGGUGCUGGCCCACAAUCACCAAGUGGCUUCCACCUCACAGUCUGCUGUGGUUGAUUAAACUCCAGCAUCUUAUUGAUGUUCUAGCUGGCAGAAACGAAAAAGAACCCAACAAGGGCAAGGUUGAAUUAC